rnacentral:rRNA from 1 species
UACGGAGGGUGCAAGCGUUAUCCGGAUUCACUGGGUUUAAAGGGUGCGUAGGUGGAUUGGUAAGUCAGUGGUGUAAUCUCCGGGCUUAACUCGGAAACUGCCAUUGAUACUAUCAGUCUUGAAUACCGUGGAGGCCAGUAGAAUAUGUCAUGUAGCGGUGAAAUGCUUAGAUAUGACAUAGAAUACCAAUUGCGAAGGCAGCUGGCUACGCGAAUAUUGACACUCAGGCACGAAAGCGUGGGGAUCAAACAGG